rnacentral:rRNA from 1 species
GUCGCCCUACGGGACGCAGCAGUGGGGGAUAUUGCACAAUGGGGGGAACCCUGAUGCAGCGACGCCGCGUGGGUGAAGGAGCGUUUCGGCGCGUAAAGCCCUAUCGGCAGGGAAGAAGGAGGACGGUACCUGACUAAGAAGCCCCGGCUAACUACGUGCCAGCAGCCGCGGUCAUACGUAGGGGGCAAGCGUUAUCCGGAUUUACUGGGUGUAAAGGGGGCGCAGACGGCAGCGCAAGCCAGGCGUGAAAGCCCGGGGCCCAACCUCGGGACUGCUCUUGGAACCGCGC